UACGGGGGGAGCAAGCGUUGUUCGGAUUUACUGGGCGUAAAGGGCGCGUAGGCGGCCUCCGCAAGUCAGUUGUGAAAUCUCCGAGCUUAACUCGGAAAGGUCAACUGAUACUGCGGGGCUAGAGUGCGGAAGGGGCAACUGGAAUUCUUGGUGUAGCGGUGAAAUGCGUAGAUAUCGGGAGGAACACCAAUGGCGAAGGCAGCUCGCUGGGACGGUACUGACGCUGAGGCGCGAAAGCGUGGGGAGCAAACAGG
rnacentral:rRNA from 1 species